CUUGCGUCACAUUAGUUAGUUGGUGGGGUAAAGGCCUACCAAGACUAUGAUGUGUAGCCGGGCUGAGAGGUUGAACGGCCACAUUGGGACUGAGACACGGCCCAAACUCCUACGGGAGGCAGCAGUAGGGAAUUUUCGGCAAUGGAGGAAACUCUGACCGAGCAACGCCGCGUGAACGAUGAAGUAUUUCGGUACGUAAAGUUCUUUUAUUAGGGAAGAAUAAAUGAUGGAAAAAUCAUUCUGACGGUACCUAAUGAAUAAGCCCCGGCUAACUAUGUGCCAGCAGCCGCGGUAAUACAUAGGGGGCAAGCGUUAUCCGGAAUUAUUGGGCGUAAAGGGUGCGUAGGCGGUUAAAUAAGUUUAUGGUCUAAGUGCAAUGCUCAACAUUGUGAUGCUAUAAAAACUGUUUAGCUAGAGUAAGAUAGAGGCAAGUGGAAUUCCAUGUGUAGUGGUAAAAUGCGUAAAUAUAUGGAGGAACACCAGUAGCGAAGGCGGCUUGCUGGGUCUUUACUGACGCUGAGGCACGAAAGCGUGGGGAGCAAACAGGAUUAGAUACCCUGGUAGUCCACGCCGUAAACGAUGAGUACUAAACGUUGGGUAAAACCAGUGUUGAAGUUAACACAUUAAGUACUCCGCCUGAGUAGUACGUACGCAAGUAUGAAACUUAAAGGAAUUGACGGGACUCCGCACAAGCGGUGGAUCAUGUUGUUUAAUUCGAAGGUACCCGAAAAACCUCACCAGGUCUUGACAUGCUUCUGCAAAGCUGUAGAAACACAGUGGAGGUUAUCAGUUGCACAGGUGGUGCAUGGUUGUCGUCAGCUCGUGUCGUGAGAUGUUGGGUUAAGUCCCGCAACGAGCGCAACCCUUAUUGUUAGUUACCAGCACGUAAUGGUGGGGACUUUAGCAAGACUGCCAGUGAUAAAUUGGAGGAAGGUGGGGACGACGUCAAAUCAUCAUGCCCCUUAUGACCUGGGCUACAAACGUGAUACAAUGGCUGUUACAAAGGGUAGCUGAAGCGCAAGUUUUUGGCAAAUCUCAAAAAACA
rnacentral:rRNA from 1 species